CAGUCGCCGCGGUAAUACGAAGGGGGCUAGCGUUGUUCGGAAUUACUGGGCGUAAAGCGCACGUAGGCGGAUAUUUAAGUCAGGGGUGAAAUCCCGCAGCUCAACUGCGGAACUGCCUUUGAUACUGGGUAUCAUGAGUAUGGAAGAGGUUAGUGGAAUUGCGAGUGUAGAGGUGAAAUUCGUAGAUAUUCGCAGGAACACCAGUGGCGAAGGCGGCUAACUGGUCCAUAACUGACGCUGAGGUGCGAAAGCGUGGGGAGCAAACAGGAUUAGAUACCCGUGUAGUCCCUGUCUCUUAUAC
rnacentral:rRNA from 1 species